UAGCAUAUGAGUUGAAUUACGUCUUUUAAUGAUACUUUUUAUGUGCUUUUGCAUCCAUUUUGAAGCUUGAAAGCUCGAGCUGCAACUGAAAAGAAUGAUCCUUAUUUGUUUAAAUUUCUCAUUUUGUAUUCCAUGGAAGAAUAAAAUAUUCGUAACAACAUAAGUAAAUGAUAACAGAACAUUCCUUUAAACUUGAAAAAGUAAAAAGAAAUAAAACUUAAAAAUAAAAAUAAAAAACUGUAUAUUAUAGUGCAUAUUAUAUAUUAAAUGAACUGCAUACAUACUCAGAUAAAAGAAUUCCAGCCUCAAUCUCUGAUUCCAGUUUUGAGUAACUGUGUGUAGAGGGGCCUUCAUUUAAAUGCUUGCCAUUCAUUAAAAAUCUGUGUUCUCAUCUCUCAAAACAGACAAAGAAAGAAGAGUGAAGAGAGACAGGGAAAAUGAUGAGAGAGCGAGAAAGAGAGAUGAAGAAGAGAGCAUAUCCUGACAGCUUUCAAAUUCCAGCCUUCACAUGGUGUUGGAAUAGGGUAUCGCUGAUUGCCCUGAGAGAUCUGGGGAAUGGUGUGGGAUUGACGUGGCCUCCAUCCUCCAGUGGCGGUUGUGCUACCCUUGACGCCGGCCCGUUUAACAAGGCCUUCACUCAAGCCUGAGCAGGCCAUCAUCACACUCCCCCUACACUCCUACACUCAGGUCAAGGAUGUUUGACACCUCUCCUUCAGCCGGGCACACAGGAAUUCCUGCUGUUCAGUGUGUGAAAUUCUGAUUCACAAUGACUUACAAGGACGGCUCUCCCAAAAAUGGAAAUGCAAGCAUCAUGUAUUGUCCCUUAUGUCAUUCUGAGUCCAUCUGAUUUUCUUUCUUCUGUGAAAUGCAAAAGGAGAUAUUUAGUUGAAUGUCCAAGCUGCUCUUUUACAUUCAGUGAAAAUGGAUGGGGUCUAGAGACACCCUUGUGAAAAAGAAAUACAUACUUUUAAAAAGAGCACAUAUAUAAAGAGUUAUUUUGCAAAAACAGAUAACUCCAUUUUUUAACUUUUUUUUUUUUUUUUUUUUUUUGUGUCUCAAUCAAACUGCAGUCAGGUUAUUUUGAUAAGGUAAAAAAAAAUAACUAACACAAAACAAUAAAAACAUGAUAGGUUUUUGUUUUACA
ensembl:lncRNA